UAGUUUUUAAUAAGUCGUAAUAAGUAUAUUUGCAUCAGCGUCGGUCGGUUUUCUACUCCGAUGCAAUCAGGCUUCCCAGUUCGAAGUGUGGGACGGCUAAUAAUACCUGGCAAUCGAGAAAACUUGCACAACACAAGCGCGGACGUCGGAUCCUGCUGUUGCAAAUCCUGGUGCUUUUCUUCGUGCCUCACGCUGCGCUUGUGCUCCAGAAUCUGCCUAUCAUAACGGAGCUUUCCUACGGGCUGGGCUCCUUGACUGACGCUGAUGCUGAGGCAAACUGGAUCUUGUCUCUCGGCGAAGCGGUCACCAGCAUACAGCAGGAGCGGAUCCUCGUUGUCAAGUACCUAUUCUUGGAGGCUACCGACUUGGACAUAAUACACCUUCGGGAAAUUUUCUCCGUAACGGACGCGGGGCUCGAACGUUUCGGCACAUUGGUGCCCGAUUAUUACAGAUUCAAUUU